rnacentral:rRNA from 1 species
AGAGUUUGAUCCUGGCUCAGGAUGAACGCUAGCUACAGGCUUAACACAUGCAAGUCGAGGGGAAACGAUAGGGAAAGCUUGCUUUUCCUAGGCGUCGACCGGCGCACGGGUGAGUAACGCGUAUCCAACCUGCCCAUGUCUGGGGAAUAACCCGUCGAAAGGCGGACUAACUCCCCAUGGUCUCCGAUGAGGACAUCUGAAUUGGAGUAAAGCUUCGCGGACAUGGAUGGGGAUGCGUCUGAUUAGGUAGUAGGCGGGGUAACGGCCCACCUAGCCUACGAUCAGUAGGGGUUCUGAGAGGAAGGUCCCCCACAUUGGAACUGAGACACGGUCCAAACUCCUACGGGAGGCAGCAGUGAGGAAUAUUGGUCAAUGGACGAGAGUCUGAACCAGCCAAGUAGCGUGCAGGAUGACGGCCCUAUGGGUUGUAAACUGCUUUUAUAAGGGAAUAAAGUGAGUCUCGUGAGACUUUUUGCAUGUACCUUAUGAAUAAGGACCGGCUAAUUCCGUGCCAGCAGCCGCGGUAAUACGGAAGGUCCGGGCGUUAUCCGGAUUUAUUGGGUUUAAAGGGAGCGUAGGCCGUGAGGUAAGCGUGUUGUGAAAUGUAGGCGCCCAACGUCUGCACUGCAGCGCGAACUGCCCCACUUGAGUGCGCGCAACGCCGGCGGAACUCGUCGUGUAGCGGUGAAAUGCUUAGAUAUGACGAAGAACCCCGAUUGCGAAGGCAGCUGGCGGGAGCGUAACUGACGCUGAAGCUCGAAAGCGCGGGUAUCGAACAGGAUUAGAUACCCUGGUAGUCCGCGCGGUAAACGAUGGAUGCCCGCUGUGGCGCGCCUGGCGUGCCGCGGCUAAGCGAAAGCAUUAAGCAUCCCACCUGGGGAGUACGC